GGUACCAUCUAGAACAUUCUGAUAGACAGGUAGGUACCAUCUAGAACAUUCUGAUAGACAGGUAGGUACCAUCUAGAACAUUCUGAUAGACAGGUAGGUACCAUCUAGAACAUUCUGAUAGACAGGUAGGUACCAUCUAGAACAUUCUGAUAGACGGGUAGGUACCAUCUAGAACAUUCUGAUAGACAGGUAGGUACCAUCUAGAACAUUCUGAUAGACAGGUAGGUACCAUCUAGAACAUUCUGAUAGACAGGUAGGUACCAUCUAGAACAUUCUGAUAGACAGGUAGGUACCAUCUAGAACAUUCUGUUAGACGGGUAGGUACCAUCUAGAACAGUCUGAUAGACAGGUAGGUACCAUCUAGAACAGUCUGAUAGACAGGUAGGUACCAUCUAGAACAGUCUGUUAGACGGGUAGGUACCACCUAGAACAUUCUGAUAGACGGGUAGGUACCAUCUAGAACAGUCUGAUAGACAGGUAGGUACCAUCUAGAACAUUCUGAUAGACGGGUAGGUACCAUCUAGAACAGUCUGAUAGACAGGUAGGUACCAUCUAGAACAUUCUGAUAGACAGGUAGGUACCAUCUAGAACAUUCUGUUAGACGGGUAGGUACCAUCUAGAACAGUCUGAUAGACAGGUAGGUACCAUCUAGAACAGUCUGAUAGACAGGUAGGUACCAUCUAGAACAGUCUGAUAGACAGGUAGGUACCAUCUAGAACAGUCUGAUAGACAGGUAGGUACCAUCUAGAACAGUCUGAUAGACAGGUAGGUACCAUCUAGAACAUUCUGAUAGACGGGUAGGUACCAUCUAGAACAGUCUGAUAGACAGGUAGGUACCAUCUAGAACAGUCUGAUAGACAGGUAGGUACCAUCUAGAACAUUCUGAUAGACGGGUAGGUACCAUCUAGAACAUUCUGAUAGACGGGUAGGUACCAUCUAGAACAUUCUGAUAGACAGGUAGGUACCAUCUAGAACAUUCUGAUAGACGGGUAGGUACCAUCUAGAACAUUCUGAUAGACAGGUAGGUACCAUCUAGAACAUUCUGAUAGACAGGUAGGUACCAUCUAGAACAUUCUGAUAGACAGGUAGGUACCAUCUAGAACAUUCUGAUAGACGGGUAGGUACCAUCUAGAACAUUCUGAUAGACAGGUAGGUACCAUCUAGAACAUUCUGAUAGACAGGUAGGUACCAUCUAGAACAUUCUGUUAGACGGGUAGGUACCACCUACUACAGAACGUUCUCAUAAACCAGGUUUCCAUCCAACCAUUUCAUGCGGAUGAAUUACCGGGCUCAGGAAAGAAGUCAUGACGCGGCUGAUGGAAACAGGAAAUGCCGGUACAAUUUUAUUAAUGCCGACAGACAAUGUGUUUAUUCAACAUGGAAUCUUUUUGUGUCUGUAAAAUGAAUUGUGUGAUAAAUUGCGGUGGGAAGUCUUUACCCAAACAUAUGUCGUGUGGUCCUCCCACUAUGACUCAGGAAAGCAUGCAGUUUAUUAGUGUCCAGAUGCACUAUGUGAUGAACUUCACAGGGUGCUGACAGUACAAGGUGAUGAGCUUGAUGCUGCUUUCCAAUAAAUAACUAAAUGUUUUACCCAAAUUAAACAAUUUAAAGGCAAUGCUACCAAAUACUAAUUGUGUGUAUGUAACCUUCUGACCCAUUGGGAAUGUGAUGAAAGAAAUACAAGCUGAAAUAAAUCAUUCUUUCUACUAAUAUUCUGACAUUUCACAUUCUUAAAAUGAAGUGAUCUUAACUGACCUAAAACAGGGAAUUUCUACUAGGAUUACAUGUCAGGAAUUGUGAAAAACUGAGUUUAAAUGUAUUUGGCUAAGGUGUAUGUAAACUUCUGACUUCAACUGUAUGUAACAGAGUUGUUGUCCUGGGUCCUGUUCAGUAGGUCUGGAACAGAGUGAAACUGGGAGGCACUAUCUUAACGUGUCCAAUAAGAAACUUGUAGAUCUAGAUAUUUUUGUUGUGUACAUGUUUGUUACUGACAUGCUGCUUGUUGUAUUGAUGUAAGUUUUGCCUGGUUGAUGUCAUGUCUGAAUCUGAUGUUGCUUCUGUCUUGGUCCAGGCCCCCUGAAAAAGUUUUAUUUCAACGAGACUAACCUGGUUAAAUGAAUCAAAUAAUUCACUCUGCUCUUUCUCUCCCUCAUCUCUCUACCCUCCCUCCUGGUCUCUCUACCCUCCCUCACUCCACUCCCUCCUGGUCUCUCUACCCUCCCUCACUCCACUCCCUCCUGGUCUCUCUACCCUCCCUCACUCCACUCCCUCCUGGUCUCUCUACCCUCCCUCACUCCACUCCCUCCUGGUCUCUCUACCCUCCCUCACUCCACUCCCUCCUGGUCUCUCUACCCUCCCUCACUCCACUCCCUCCUGGUCUCUCUACCCUCCC